rnacentral:tRNA from 1 species
GCGGGUAUAGUUUAGAGAUAAAAC